CAAGUGGUACGCAGAGGAAUCACUGAAUUUCGAUCUCACUGGUGUGAGUAGAACGAUGAGUGCGUGACUUGACCAACUGAUAAAUUGAAACUGUGCUUUCGCUCGCUGGCUGGGGCUGAGCCAGAGACGUACGCGCUCAGCGGAGUCAUAUCCAUAGAUAUUAUAUAGAGACUAGAUGCCCUAUUGGCCGUUGCGCACUAAGAAAUACGGCCGCCAUCCUAAAACGGUCGUACUCCUACUUUCGUUGCGCGGCAGCAUUUAAGAUGCCAGAGCACUGUGGAGCAUUUUCCUGUUCUAAUCGGUGGACCAUAGCAAGGGGAUUACUUUUCACAAGUUUGCCACCACACACUACAAGAUGUAAAGGGCCACCUUACCACUGGAAAGAUGUUAUCUGGGGUUAUUGUGCUGCUUUGUUUGUGACUAUUCUGCAUCUCCACUCUUAUCAUGUUUACACGCUUUCCUGUGGCUGGGGCAUUGCUGUGUUUGCUGCAAGAGGAGCAAAGCGUAAAUACAGUGCUCUGUGGGAGAAAAAUAGAUGGCAUCACUAUGAUUGAAGUGCAGAGCUAAAGGUGUCUAUUUAUGCGUUCAUGUGGAUAUGAGGAUUAUAAAUCUCACAUCUUCACUCACAAACUGGCACGUACUAAUGUAAUAAAACAGGCAGGACACACUUGUACUCUCAAACUCAAAUGCAGAGGGCUUUAAUCAAUGACUUGUUGAGAUACAUAGAAAAUUAACUGAAAAAGUGUUUGUUGCAGGCUAACAGUUUAUAUGUAACAGCAACCAUACCCUAACCCUAAGACCAGAAAUUCACCAAGUUUCAUGCUUAUAACACCACAAAAUGCCAUUCCAUCUUUGUAAACACCACACUACAAACUGUUUCACAGAAGACAACCAUUAAUUACUUAACUGAACAGUUUGAAUUGAACCACCCUACAGACAAUCUCAUUUGAUAAUCUUUUCUUAUUGUUGUUUUGUCUUUGGACAACACUCUACUAAUGUAACGUCAAACAAUGUUUUAACACACUUAUAUUAUGUUGUUAUUUCCCAAGUCCCAUGGAAUCCAGACCCGCCCUAUCUUCGUAGCUACAUCGUAAUAAAAAAGUAUUAAAAUAUAUUGGUGCAAUAAUAUUUUAUUAUUGGGUCUUAUCAAACAUCACUGUUAAGAACACAUGAGCAUCACAUGAUCCACCAUAUUGACGAUUUCAUGAUGCAAAAUUGCAGCCACUAUUUUAGCAUUGCUGACCUUUUCAUUUUUUAGUUUAAAGUCAACAUGAAAUCAAAAUGUACCCUAUUUAGUUCCUUAAUACAUGUUUCUGAUCUUAUUGUGAACGAUUCAUAUGUGCCUAUAAUUUUAAAGAAAAAAAUAUGUCUACAUAAUUUUUCCAAGCUCCGCCUCUGAAACAACUUUCCUUUUCAAAUGAUGUCAUUAAGGCCGCAUAAAUUUCAAUCAACAAGCAAGCAGAGUUUCAGAAAGGAAGUAGUCCUUCACACUUUUUCUCCUUGAAUAAGCUAUUUCACUCAAAAUAUGUCACAUGGAAAUAAAAUGGGUUGCGAACACCAUUUCAUGUUGACUUUAUCCUGUCAGUGACUAAAAUAGAUCCUGUGUGUGCAUUAGUAUUUAUUUGCAAGAAAACCAAAAAAAACUAAAUGUGAACAAUACUUUAAAAUGCAGACCACUUAUUAUCUCACAUUACUAUUUUACUCACAUAAGGGUCAUUCACAGUGAACAAGGUGGUGGAAGGGGCCACAAUCUGAGUAGAAGUCAUGUGACAUUGUGAUUGUAGUGCUGGUUAUUUGAUUAG